rnacentral:rRNA from 1 species
UACGUAGGUGACAAGCGUUGUCCGGAUUUACUGGGCGUAAAGAGCGCGCAGGCGGUCGUUCAAGUCGCGUGUGAAAGCCCCCGGCUCAACUGGGGAGGGUCACGCGAUACUGAUCGACUCGAAGGCAGGAGAGGGAAGUGGAAUUCCCGGUGUAGUGGUGAAAUGCGUAGAUAUCGGGAGGAACACCAGUGGCGAAGGCGACUUCCUGGCCUGUUCUUGACGCUGAGGCGCGAAAGCGUGGGUAGCAAACAGG